rnacentral:lncRNA from 10 species
CUCGAGCUGAGCUUUCGCUCACCAUCCACCACUGCUGUUUGCCACUGUCGCAGACCCACCGCCGACUCCCAUCCCUCUGGAUCCGGCAGGGUGUCCGCUGAGCUCCUGAUACGGCGAGACUCCCAUUGCCACUCCCGAUCAUGCUAAAGGCUUGCCAUUGUUCCUGCAACGUUAAGUGCCUGGGUUCGUCCUAAUCGAGCUGAACACUAGUCACUGGGUUCCAUGGUUCUCUUCCGUGACCCACGGCUUCUAAUAGAGCUAUAACACUCACUGCAUGGCCCAAGAUUCCAUUCCUUGGAAUCCGUGAGGCCAAGAACCCCAGGUCAGAGAAGACGAGGCUUGCCACCAUCUUGGAAGCGGCCCGCCACCAUCUUGGAAGUGGCUCGCCACCAUCUUGGGAGCUCUGUGAGCAAGGACCUCCGGUAACAUUUUGGCGACCACGAAGGGACAUCCAAAGCUUAUUGCCUAACGGUCCACAAUAAAACAUUCUCACUUUGGUAACUGUAUAAAAAUAGAAGUACAUUACAUAAAAAAGCAGUGUUUAAGCAAGAUCAGCUUACUCUGAGCAGAACCAGAGAAACAAGAAGGUGCAGGUGAUGGUAAACAUGGAUUCAGCAUUUACGAUCAGGAGGUAUACUCCAAGUAGAUUGAACAGAACUCUUGGCAUAUGAAUGACUACUCCACCUGGACAAGGAACAUCAGUACCAAAAUUCACCCCCUCUGCUGUUGUAAAGAUACCUACAAAUUCUUGACUACUUGUCCUGUUGUAAGAUGGAGGCUAGUUCCCCUCCUCUUAAAAUUGGGCUGACUUUACUUACUUGCUAGACAAAUAGAAUGUGACGGAAGUGAUGUUCUUGGACUUCCUACACUAGAAAAGAGCUUUGCAGUUUCCUGCUUAGAAUCCUCUUAUAACACUUAUUGCUAUAUUGUGAAGAAUCCAAACAGUCCAACUUGAGAGAAAUCAAGGCACUCAGUAGACAACCCUGGCUGAGUUUCCAGCUAGCAGCCAGAAACAACAUGCCAGCCUUGGAAGUGCACUGUCUUAAGUGGCUCGAUCCUCCAACUUCGGUCUAGCAGCCCCAGCUGAAGCCAUGCAAAGCAGAGACAAGUUUUCCAGCUAAGCCGUGUGAAAAUGACAAAUUUCUCACUAUCCUUGACAGAGAAGAAAGGACUUAGAACCGGAAUUCAACUUUGUGACCAUAAUCUGGUGAAGUUGAGAAGGUUGUCCCUCUGCAGGGAGGGGCCGUAUAUUUUGUGUAAGUCUCACAAGAUUGGUCAAGGUAACUUAAGAACAGAGACUGGAAGAUGCAACAUGCAGCUAUGAAGACAGACUUGUGGAACAGUUAAGUUGAGCACUCAUGAGAGACUCUGAGAAUGACUCCUCAAAUAUUCUGAAGAUACAUAAGUCCUAUCUGCCACACAGGACAGAGUGACUGAAUAACUAGAAUGUUUUAGAUCCCUGUGAAUCAGUAUUGAAUGUGGUGCCAGAAUAUAAAAAUAAACAAAGAAGUUACAAUAUAGUGACAUGGGAGCAGGGAAAUAUAACAAACAAACAAACACGUAAUUAAGUAACUUGAACAAUGAGUAGUUGUAUGGUAGAGGUAUAAUACAUAAAAUACCUUAAGAACACAGAGGUGGUAGGGCUGAAUUAUACCUGGAAGACUUCAAAACAGAGUUGGCUUUUUAAAGCAGGGUUUUGAAAGUUGAAGUGAUAAAGAGAAAACUGAGGCAAGAGGCCAGUUCUUCUGGGUAUCAAAAAUAAAUACAUAUUCUUGGACUGGCAUGAUGUAUUCAGGAAGUGAUGGGUAGUCCAGUGCAAGCAGUAUACAGCCAACAAAUCAGAGGUGACCUAACUGAAAAUAAAGGGAGCAGAGUGCUGGGAAAUGGUGGCUUUAAAAAGCAUAUAUUAUGAGUAUAUAUGGGAAUGAUCCCACCUCAUUCUUCUACUGAACAGGAAGAAACAGGAUGCUUUAUCUAGAAUUCCAGUAUGACUCCAAAUCUGAAAUCCGCAUCAGUGAUGGAAACAAUGAGUAGAUUUCCCAGGGACCUGAAUAUUAAAGAUUUCACUUUUAGACUCUGCAAUGUAGUAAGUUAGCAAAUAAUUAUAAAAACAGAAUUCAAAAUGUACAAAUUGGACUCAUCUACAUGACAAUACCCAAUUAUAAAUCCAAAUAAACUAGCAGCCAGCAAUCAAAAUAACAAAUGUCCAGAUUUUUCUUUAUUGAUUUUUCUAGUAAAAUGACCAUAUAUUUUGGUAGUUCAUAUGGUUUGGCUGUGUGUCCCCAUCCAAAUCUCAUCGUGUAGUUCCCAUAAUUCCCAUGUGUUGUGGGAGGGACCCAGUGGGAGGUGACUGAUUCAUGGGGGUGGGUCUUUCCCAUGUUGUUCUUGUGAUAGUGAAUGGGUCUCAAUAGAGCUGAUGGUUUUAAAAACAGGAGGUUCUCUGCACACGCUCUCUCUUUGCCUGCUGCCAUCCUCAUACAAUGUGACUUGCUCCUCCUUGCCUUCCGCCAUGAUUGUGAGGCCACCCCAGCCAUGUGGAACUGUAAGUCCAAUAAACCUCUUUCUUCUGUAAAUUGCCCAGGCUCAAAUAUGCUUUCUGUGAAAAUGGAAAAAUACUGUAAUACAAAGAGAG